UGUCUUUUAAAUGAAGACCUGUAUGAAUGGCAUAACGAGGGCUUAACUGUCUCCUCCCCCCAGUCAAUGAAAUUGAUCUCCCCGUGCAGAAGCGGGGAUAAUUACAUAAGACGAGAAGACCCUGUGGAGCUUUAAAUCAAGGACAGACCAUGUCAAGAAUAACAAACAAGAACGUUAAACAAAUUGGUUGCUGUUCAAGUAUUUUUGGUUGGGGCGACCGCGGGGUAAUAAACAACCCCCAUGUGGACUAAGAAAACAUUCUUAAAACUAAGAGCCACUGCUCUAAGAAACAGAAUUUCUGACCUUAAUGAUCCGGCCUGGCCGAUCAACGAACCCAGUUACCCCAGGGAUAACAGCGCAAUCCUCUUCUAGAGCCCAUAUCGACAAGAGGGUUUACGACCUCGAUGUUGGAUCAGGACAUCCUAAUGGUGUAGCCGCUAUUAAGGGUUUGUUUGUUCAACAAUUAAAGU
rnacentral:rRNA from 1 species